rnacentral:rRNA from 1 species
AGUGAACGCUGGCGGCGUGCUUAACACAUGCAAGUCGAACGAGAACGGGUUAUAGCUUGCUAUAAUUGUCAGCUAAGCGGCGCACGGGUGAGUAAUGUAUAGGCAAUAUGCCUCUUACUAAGGGAUAACAAAUGGAAACGUUUGCUAAUACCUUAUACUCCUUAUUAACAUAAGUUAAUAAGGGAAAGAUUUAUUGGUAAGAGAUUAGCCUGUAUUGUAUCAGUUAGUUGGUGGGGUAAUGGCUUACCAAGACUAUGACACAUAACUGGUUUGAGAGGAUGAUCAGUCACACUGGAACUGAGACACGGUCCAGACUCCUACGGGAGGCAGCAGUGGGGAAUAUUGCACAAUGGACGAAAGUCUGAUGCAGCAACGUCGCGUGGAGGAUGACACAUUUCGGUGCGUAAACUCCUUUUAUAUGAGAAGAUAAUGACGGUAUUAUAUGAAUAAGCACCGGCUAACUCCGUGCCAGCCGCCGCCGUAAAAC